UUAUUCUGGUUAUGGCGUUUGAAGGCAAAUAACACUUUUAACAUGUUUUUGAGAAAUCAUAGUAAUUCAAUUUGCAUAUGUAAUUAUUUAUUUUUUUCUGAAAAAUUAGUGCUAUUGUAUUUAAAAUUAAAGAACUAUGGGUCUAUCUCGUUUAUUUUUUACAUCGACACCUUGCAUUCUAACAAUUCCUUUUGAAUUUUAUGGCCACCAAUCAUACGAAUUUGAUUGAUUAUAAUGAAUAUGAAAUACUUUAUACUACAUUGAUUACUUUAACGGCCAUCGCAGUUAGCAAUCGAGUAGUAAAAUAUCUAUGUGUAAAAAUUGUUAUUGAUUCAAUUUUAUGAAAC